AUUGAACGCUGGCGGCGUGCUUUACACAUGCAAGUCGAACGGCAGCAUAGGUAGCAAUACCUGAUGGCGAGUGGCGAACGGGUGAGUAAUACAUCGAAACGAACCUAUUAGUUGGGGAUAACUCAUCGAAAGAUGAGCUAAUACCGAAUAAGCUACGAGGAGGAGAGUUGGGGACCAGGAAUGGCCUGACGCUGAUAGGUUGGUCGAUGGUCGAUUAGCUAGUUGGUGGGGUAAGGGCUUACCAAGGCGAUGAUCGAUAGCUGUUCUGAGAGGAAGAUCAGCCACACUGGAACUGAGACACGGUCCAGACUCCUACGGGAGGCAGCAGUGGGGAAUAUUGGACAAUGGGGGCAACCCUGAUCCAGCAACGCCGCGUGAAUGAAGAAGGUCUUAGGAUUGUAAAGUUCUUUUACCUGGGAGCAAAGGUAUCAAGUUAAAAGCUAGAUAUUAUGAGAGUACCAGGAGAAUAAGCACCGGCUAACUACGUGCCAGCCGCCGCGGUAA
rnacentral:rRNA from 1 species